UCGCUGGGUGCGUAAGGCAUAGUGGGGGACACAAAACUGAUGUCAGCGCCCGCUGCGGGACAAUACAGAACUAAGGGUGGCUCUUUAUUACUAAAAGCUAUGAAAAUAACACGUGUGUUAGUUUAUUUAAAUAAAUAAAAUAAAAUGGGUCAUCAAAAUUGUUGUGUAGUUAAUUGUAAAAAUACUAGUAGAAAUAGUGAUUGUAAAUUUUAUAAGUUUCCGGUUGCCAAUUGGAAAUUAAAUCAGCGAAAAAAAUGGAUAGCUGCUGCUCAACAUCUCUCAUAUGUUCAGCCAGGAUUAAAUUUUUACCCUUUAUUAAAGUUUGUGGUUGAAAAAUAAUAUUAUGGGUAAUAGAUUGCAAAAUUAAAUAAAGAAUAUAAAAAUUUAAGAUACAUUCGUAAAUAUAUAGUUAUGUUAAAUAGAGCUAUUCGUUAUUUUUUAUAUAAUUUCAGAUUGUUAUAUAUUUAAUAUUAAUACUGAUUUUUCAUUUAAUAUUAAUUUAACAAUAAACACCUUGACAGAUUUUAACACUGAUUAACCUAAUUCACUUGAGAUUUGUUUUAGUUAUUGUGUUUAUUUUCCUUACUAUUUUCAACUGACCCAAGAAAAAAUUUUUAAUUUAAUCUACAUUCUGUGUAAUAUGUCACAUUUUACAUAGAAAACAAAUUUUUUUCAAGUUUAUUUAAUUGUUUAAAUAACUAUUUGGCAUCUAAUACAUGUAAAUUUUCUUAAAAAAGCCACCGUAAGUUGUAUCGUCAGGUGGCGGUGGGGUCACGCACCCAGCGAAUACAAAUACAUGGAGAAUAAUUUAUGAACAA